rnacentral:rRNA from 1 species
AGUGAACGCUGGCGGUAGGCCUAACACAUGCAAGUCGAACGGCAGCACAGUAAGAGCUUGCUCUUACGGGUGGCGAGUGGCGGACGGGUGAGGAAUACAUCGGAAUCUACUUUUUCGUGGGGGAUAACGUAGGGAAACUUACGCUAAUACCGCAUACGACCUACGGGUGAAAGCAGGGGAUCUUCGGACCUUGCGCGAUUGAAUGAGCCGAUGUCGGAUUAGCUAGUUGGCGGGGUAAAGGCCCACCAAGGCGACGAUCCGUAGCUGGUCUGAGAGGAUGAUCGGCCACACUGGAACUGAAACACGGUCCAGACUCCUACGGGAGGCAGCAGUGGGGAAUAUUGGACAAUGGGCGCAAGCCUGAUCCAGCCAUACCGAGUGGGUGAAGAAGGCCUUCGGGUUGUAAAGCCCUUUUGUUGGGAAAGAAAAGCAGCAGGUUAAUACCCCGCUGUUCUGACGGUACCCAAAGAAUAAGCACCGGCUAACUUCGUG